CAAUAAUUUCUAUAAUCAAAUUUUUUUUGUUUUCCAUUAUGUUUGCCAAUGGAUUAUUGUUAUCUGAGUCUUUUUUCUCCUGUAAAUAAAUAGCAUCAUCCUGUGAGUCAAAGACAUCUUUAAUACUAAGCUGCAUGAAAUGAUAUUGACAAAUGACCUGCCCCUGAGUAGGGCAAAUGCAUGAGAGCUUUAUUAUGGACACCAAGAAAGAGGAAUGGAAUAUAGGUCUAAAGUCAAAUCAGUGUCAAAGUAAACCAAAGCAACCGAUUAAAUGGAGGCACUUUGUAGGACCUAUAUCAAUUAAUGAUUUAAGAAAUCUUAAAUAAAAUGCUCUGAGAAUUAAAAAUACUUCUUAAAGCAUUUCUUCUCUCUCUCCCACAGGCUAGGGAAUACUCAAUUGGAAUUCUGUGGCACGUGUAAAGUAAAAAUGGAAUGUCCAUGAAUUAUGCACAAAGUUCUUAAUUGCACACUGUCACUGGAGCCAUUGUCACCCACCACCAAAUCUUGUGUCUCCAAAAAAAAAAAAAAGGAAGUUCACAUUGUUAGACAUGCCAUGUCGAAUUAAGCAUGGCCUCAGAAAGAUUGAUCUUACCACUGCUGAAAACUGAAGAUGAGAAGCAGUUUCAGUAAGAACAACAGAGUAAACAAAGCUAAGAUAACAACAGUGAAUGCCAUGAAUUCUGAAUAGAACAUGACAUGGAUAAACUGAUUUGUUCUACUUCAUUAAGUUACAUUGAAGUUGGAGAAGUUUGCAGAACUUUGGCAUACAUAGAGGUCACAAUAGUAUAUGUUUUUAUCAAACUGAAUUCUAACUGUUAGAAGAUAAAGAAUCAAUCUAGUGAGUCAGCAAGCAACUAGCAGGGGUCUGUGCUAUCCCAGAUAAACUCUAGGUAUGAUUCCUAAACAAUGCAAUUUUACUAUACAAAGGAGGUAAUACAAAAGAGCCUGAGGAUAUUGGCAAGCAUGUAAGUCUAUGCAAAUUAUGUAAGUUCCAUCUAUUUUAAAGUGCUGUAUUGUGUGAUAUAAAUGUAUAACCAUAUGUUACAAAACCAAAAUCAGGACCCAUGUUCCAAUAAAUUAUUUUUGUG